GGCUGAUACAUUGCUUUUCAAAUACUUGGCCAGAUUGUUACAUUUUAAGAGCCUCUUGUCCUGAAUAGAACAAUAAGAGGCCCAAUAAAAAGCUGGCAAGACAGAUCCUCUGCCUUAGGUUUCCAAUGCAAGGCUUAAUUUCACACAGGUCCAUUGAUAGCAGUGCUCAUACUGACAUCCACUGGCAGUCUGUACUUCCGCUGUGUCUUUCCUGAGGCAAAGUACAAUUUCUUCUACUAGCCAUUUCUGCUCAAGAUAAAAAGAGCUACCAGGUUUUUUUCCCUCUCUUAUCGGAGAAAUGAAAUUUUGAAAGAAUAAUAUCUUCACCUAUACACAGAGACAAAGAAAAUCUCAAUUCUACCACACAAAAGCUCAACAGAAACAUGAAAAAGACCUUCUUUUUCUCAGCAGUCUCCUCAAGCCUGAGAGGAGGCGAUACACAUGGACAUCACCAAAUGGCCAGUACAAAAGUCAGAAUACAUACCUGGUAACAGAAGACAGAGGAGCAGCAAAAAUGAAACCAGGCACAGACUGCACAACAGACCAUGAAUUACUAAUAUCUAAAAUUAGAAUAAAGCUGAAGAAGAACACAAAAUCAAUCAUGAGGACAAAAUACAAUCUGAAGAACAUCCCUGCAGAAUUCAAAGAAAAGUGAUUUUCACUAUUAAGUCUAAAUGACCAAUACUCAGAAGAACUAUGGAGAUUGGUCAGGGAUAUAUUGAAAGGGAAAUGCAGAAAAAGACUAACUGCGGCCAAAAAGAAAGAGAAGGAAAAAAAUGGAUGACAGAUGAAAUGCUGCAAGCUGUAAAAGAAAGAAUGGAGAAAAAGAAAAAGAAAAGGAGGACAGGAACAGAACCAGAACAUUAAAUGUGACUUUGCACAACGAUAAAAAGAAUUAUUAUAACAAUCAAUAAAAAGAAAUAAAAGCCAACAAUGAAAUAUGAAGAACAAGAAACAUUCAUCACAAGAUCUGGGAAAUAAAAGGGAAAUUUAAACCAAGAAUGGGGAUGUUAUUUGAUCAGAAUGGAACUUAAUACACAAUGAAAUAAAAAUGAUGGAACAAUAAAUAAAAGAGAAGAAAGGAUGGAUGAUAUGUGGGAAGAAGGAUAAUACAAUGGAGAACCCCAAAUUCUGGAAAGUGAAGCAAAAGUGGUACUUCAAGCACUUGGGAAGAAUAAGACACCAGGAGCAGAUGAGAUACGAAUAGAACUGUUGCAGUCUAUAGAGACAGAACCAACUUUAGUGAUAACUAAAAUCUGCCGACCAAUAUGGAAAAUAAAACCAUAGCCUACAUAUUGGAAAUGAUCAAUAUAUAUUCCAGUUCCUAAAAAAGGAGACACAAAAUAGUGCAGCAUCUACAGGACCAUUGCAUUAAUUGUACAGAUUAUACAGACUUUAGCACCAUAAAAUACUGACAGGUGUUUGAUUCCCAAAUCUCUGGAGAGCUGCAGGUUCCUUAUACCUGUGCUUUCAAGUUGGAUGUAUUCAAGUACUGUUUUUUGUUUGCCCAUUAAUCCAUGAUCAGCAUCUGGAGGUUCAUUGGUUCCUGUCCUCUGCACUUAGUAAACCCCUUGAUGAUCUGAAAUGCUCAUACAAAAUAAAUACAUAAAUAAA